rnacentral:tRNA from 1 species
AUCUUUUUAGUAUUAAUAAGUAUCAGUGACUUCCAAUCACCCGGUCUUGGUUAAAAUCCAAGGAAAGAUA